rnacentral:rRNA from 1 species
CUACGGGGCGCACCAGUGGGGAAUAUUGCACAAUGGAGGAAACUCUGAUGCAGCAACGCCGCGUGGAGGAUGACACUUUUCGGAGCGUAAACUCCUUUUAUAUAGGAAGAAGAUGAUGGUACUAUAUGAAUAAGCGCCGGCUAACUCCGUGCCAGCAGCCGCGGUAAUACGGAGGGCGCAAGCGUUACUCGGAAUCACUGGGCGUAAAGAGCGUGUAGGCGGAUUAAAAAGUCAGAAGUGAAAUCCUAUAGCUUAACUAUAGAACUGCUUCUGAAACUCUUAAUCUAGAAUAUGGGAGAGGUAGAUGGAAUUUCUGGUGUAAGGGUAAAAUCCGUAGAGAUCAGAAGGAAUACCGAUUGCGAAGGCGAUCUACUAGAACAUUAUUGACGCUGAGACGCGAAAGCGUGGGGAGCAAACAGGAUUAGAUACCCCAGUAGUC